CAGAGCCGCAGUGAAUAGGCCCAGGCGACUGUUUAUCAAAAACACAUGGCUUUGCUAAAUCGAAAGAUGAUGUAUAAGGCCUGACACCUGCCCGGUGCCGGAAGGUUAAUUGAUGGGGUUAGCGUAAGCGAAGCUCUUGAUCGAAGCCCCGGUAAACGGCGGCCGUAACAAUAACGGUCCUAAGGUAGCGAAAUUCCUUGUCGGGUAAGUUCCGACCUGCACGAAUGGUGUAACCAUGGCCAUGCUGUCUCCACCCGAGACUCAGUGAAAUUGAAAUCGCAGUGAAGAUGCUGUGUACCCGCACCUAGACGGAAAGACCCCGUGAACCUUUACUAUAGCUUCGCAUUGAUUUCGGGUAAAUGAUGUGUAGGAUAGGUGGGAGACUUUGAUCUUGCUUCGCCAGGAGU
rnacentral:rRNA from 1 species